CAACCGCUGACGAAAAUCGUGGAUGUUG
rfam:Muricauda lutaonensis strain CC-HSB-11, complete genome.